AAUCCGUGUUGCGGACAAUGUCUCAGGAGUUCCUUGAACCUUUCCCAUAUCUCAAAUAGAGACUUCAAUUCCAACUGAAUAAAGGACGAGGUCUUAUUCUUAAGCUU